UACGGAGGGAGCUAGCGUUAUUCGGAAUUACUGGGCGUAAAGCGCACAUAGGCGGCUUUGUAAGUUAGAGGUGAAAGCCCGGAGCUCAACUCCAGAAUUGCCUUUAAGACUGCAUCGCUCGAAUCCGGGAGAGGUGAGUGGAAUUCCGAGUGUAGAGGUGAAAUUCGUAGAUAUUCGGAAGAACACCAGUGGCGAAGGCGGCUCACUGGACCGGCAUUGACGCUGAGGUGCGAAAGCGUGGGGAGCAAACAGG
rnacentral:rRNA from 1 species